rnacentral:rRNA from 1 species
UACGGGGGGGGCAAGCGUUGUUCGGAAUUACUGGGCGUAAAGGGUGCGUAGGCGGCUUUCUAAGUCGGAUGUGAAAUCCCUCGGCUUAACCGGGGAACUGCGUCUGAUACUGGAUGGCUUGAGUUUGGGAGAGGGACGCGGAAUUCCUGGUGUAGCGGUGAAAUGCGCAGAUAUCAGGAGGAACACCAGUGGCGAAGGCGCCGCUCUGGGCCGAGACUGACGCUGAGGAGCGAAAGCGUGGGUAGCAAACAGG